AGAGUUUGAUCCUGGCUCAGGACUAACGCUGGCGGCGUGCCUAACACAUGCAAGUCGAACGGGGUAGCAAUACCCAGUGGCAGACGGGUGAGUAACACGUGGUCAACCUACCUCUGUGUGGGGGAUAACUAGCCGAAAGGUUAGCUAAUACCGCAUACGAUCUUCGAGCGGCAUCGCUUGGAGAUGAAAGGAGCAAUCCG
rnacentral:rRNA from 1 species